AGCAGCCGCGGUAAUUCCAGCUCCAAUAGCGUAUAUUAAAGUUGUUGCAGUUAAAAAGCUCGUAGUUGAAUUUCGGGAUCAAGGGAUCGGUCAUGCCUUGGUAUGUACUGGUUUUAUUGGUUCUCACCUUCUAAAGAACCAUAAUGUCAUUUAUUUGAUGUUAUGGGGAAUUAGGACUGUUACCUUGAAAAAAUUAGAGUGUUCAAAGCAAGCUUACGCUUGAAUACAUUAGCAUGGAAUAAUGAAAUAGGACAUCAGAUUCUAUUUUGUUGGUUUCUAGGAUCGAUGUAAUGAUUAAUAGGGAUAGUUGGGGGCAUUAGUAUUCAAUUGUCAGAGGUGAAAUUCUUGGAUUUAUUGAAGACUAACUACUGCGAAAGCAUUUGCCAAGGAUGUUUUCAUUAAUCAAGAACGAAAGUUAGGGGAUCGAAGACGAUCAGAUACCGUCGUAGUCUUAACCAUAAACUAUGCCGACUAGGGAUCGGAUGAUGUUAAUUUUUUAAUGACUCAUUCGGCACCUUACG
rnacentral:rRNA from 1 species